AUCUAUUGAACUGAAACGGCGAGUGCAACUGAAAGUCAAGUUAGAAAUGAAGCUAGAAAGCGAGAAGUUGUUUCUGUUUCCCUGUUUCAAUAGAUAGACAGAUUUGAACUAAUACGAAACCCUUCUGGAUCCUUAUUUCGUUUGCCGUUCGUAUCGCUACUGAAUUUUGAAGUUCUCAAGUGUUUCUACACAUCUUUCAUUGUGGAAUCGAGAGCAAAAUCGGAGGAAGAAGUUAUACGCCAGGAGACCCAGAAAUAUAACCCUGAUGAAUGAAGAAACCCUAUAGAGAAUCGAAGGAAAUCAUUUUGAAAACGUCGUGGUACUUUUAGGCAAAUGAAUCGCAUACCUGACCUACACCCACCUACGAGUAUGUAAAUCGUCUACCUCUCUCGCUAAUUAUCAAAAAAUUAAACCCAAUAAUUUACACAAAGCGAAGAAGAAGAAGAAGAAAAAUAAAGGAUUAGAACAAUUGUGCGAUAUGGGCAGCGCGGCGCUUCGUACCUAACAUUUUAAUUUCCCGUUUGACCUUCUUUUAUUGGACCAGGACCGCAAAGUUGCAGUGUAUAAAUACGUUUUAUACGCGAAAAAAUAAGAUAACAAUGGCGUAAUUAAUUUCUUAAACAAUGUUAAUUAAGUGUUGUAAUGAAUCGCUUUUCUGUCAUGAAUGAACUUGAACUCUUUUUCACGAGGAAACUUUCAAAAACUGCUGGCCCAAGCAAGUGAGAAAAACCGCAAUGGCGUAAAUUUCCUAUCACCCAAUCGAAUUAACACGACGUAUUUGUGGACUUUAUUUAGCUGUGAGCUCAUAUACUGAACAUGAAGAGAUGAUCUUCGUCGAUAGUACUCCACCAACGCGACGAUGAUGAAGAAAAUUCGCGGUUUAUGAUUAAUCAAAUUACGUAAGAGUCGAUCGCUGCAGAUUGCAGAUUAUUCUUGUUCUUUUUUUUCACAUCUUGAUUACGCUGCCAUUGUUUAAUAAUAAA